rnacentral:rRNA from 1 species
AUACGGAGGGUGCGAGCGUUAAGCGGAAUUACUGGGCGUAAAGCGCGCGUAGGCGGCUUGGUCAGUCGGAUGUGAAAGCCCCGGGCUUAACCUGGGAAUUGCAUUCGAUACUGCCAGGCUAGAAUGUAGUAGAGGGUAGUGGAAUUUCGGGUGUAGCGGUGAAAUGCGUAGAGAUGUGGAGGAACACCAAUGGCGAAGGCGACUUGCUGGACUAAUACUGACGCUGAGGAGCGAAAGCGUGGGGAGCAAACGGGAUUAGAAACCCCAGUAGUCC